UACGUAGGGGGCAAGCGUUAUCCGGAUUUACUGGGUGUAAAGGGAGCGGCAUGAUAAGUCUGAUGUGAAAACCCAAGGCUCAACCAUGGGACUGCAUUGGAAACUGUCGUGCUGGAGUGUCGGAGAGGUAAGCGGAAUUCCUAGUGUAGCGGUGAAAUGCGUAGAUAUUAGGAGGAACACCAGUGGCGAAGGCGGCUUACUGGACGAUGACUGACGCUGAGGCUCGAAAGCGUGGGGAGCAAACAGG
rnacentral:rRNA from 1 species